rnacentral:pre_miRNA from 1 species
AAACCGUUACCAUUACUAUGUUUAGUAAUGGUAAGGGUUAUA